AGAGAGAGAUAAGACUGGGUGAGUAAAUAUGGAGAGAAGGGCAUUCCAGGCAGAGAGCAGAGGAAUGAACAAAACUGAAGGAAAGAAAUUUUUGCAGCAAGUGGUAAAGGGCAAUCUGUCUGGACAUGGCACUAUGUAGAGACAUCUAAUUAAAGAGGACGUGUAUCUGGAUGAUAGAGGUAAGUAGACUUGAGGAGGGGUAAGGAAGAAGAUUGGCUAAGGCAACUUGGCGGCUGUGGGCGCUGUUACCUGAGAAAGGUAAUAUGGGAAAUAGAAGUUUUUUGGACUAUCAUGAGUUCCAUUUGGUUAUGGUUAAGAUUGAGGUGCUUGUGAGUCAUCCAGAAAAAGAGAUGUAUCAGGCAGUUGAAUGGGUUGAUUUGGGCUACCGAGAUUUGAUAUAUCCCAGUAGAGUAUAGGCAGUAAUGAAAGUUUGUGUAGAAGUGAGCUUUUUCUGAAAUGAAACUGUACGUUUAGAAAGAUACCAAAAGGAGAACCUCGAGGAAUGUCAAACAUUUGAAAAGGAACCAGCAGUGAGCAAAGGCCGCGGAAGCAUUCCUGCUGUCCCUGAAACCGAAAGGGGCCAUUGUAAGACUUUACCAGGAAUAUCUUAGGUUGACUUUCUGGUAUGCAGUCGUUAUGUUGACUUUCUGGUGUACAUACACACCAGGUCAGCUAUGUCUUUGUGUUCUUUAGCUGAUUUGCUCUUAGGACAAGCUUUACAAAAAUUCAGAGUUGUGAUUUCAUAAGAAUGAAACUUAGUAAAGCAUUUUCCAAAUA